rnacentral:rRNA from 1 species
ACUCAAAUGAAUAGACGGGGGCCCGCACAAGCGGUGGAUGAUGUGGAUUAAUUCGAUGCAACGCGAAAAACCUUACCUACCCUUGACAUGCCCGGAACGGGUGAGAGAUCACCGGGUGCCCGAAAGGGAACCGGGACACAGGUGCUGCAUGGCUGUCGUCAGCUCGUGUCGUGAGAUGUUGGGUUAAGUCCCGCAACGAGCGCAACCCUUGCCAUUAGUUGCUACAUUCAGUUGGGCACUCUAAUGGGACUGCCGGUGACAAACCGGAGGAAGGUGGGGAUGACGUCAAGUCCUCAUGGCCCUUAUGGGUAGGGCUUCACACGUCAUACAAUGGCGCGUACAGAGGGUUGCCAACCCGCGAGGGGGAGCCAAUCCCUUAAAGCGCGUCGUAGUCCGGAUUGCAGUCUGCAACUCGACUGCAUGAAGUCGGAAUCGCUAGUAAUCGCGGAUCAGCAUGUCGCGGUGAAUACGUUCCCGGGCCUUGCACACACCGCCCGU